rnacentral:tRNA from 1 species
GGGGUUGUGGCUCAGCGGUGGAGAGCUUGCCUUGCAAGUAUGAGGCACUGGGUUCCAUCCUCAGCACCACA